AGCGAACGCUGGCGGCAGGCUUAACGCAUGCAAGUCGAGCGGGCAUAGCAAUAUGUCAGCGGCAGACGGGUGAGUAACGCGUGGGAACGUACCUUUUGGUUCGGAACAACUGAGGGAAACUUCAGCUAAUACCGGAUAAGCCCUUACGGGGAAAGAUUUAUCGCCGAAAGAUCGGCCCGCGUCUGAUUGGCUAGUUGGUGAGGUAAUGGCUCACCAAGGCGACGAUCAGUAGCUGGUCUGAGAGGAUGAUCAGCCACAUUGGGACUGAGACACGGCCCAAACUCCUACGGGAGGCAGCAGUGGGGAAUAUUGGACAAUGGGCGCAAGCCUGAUCCAGCCAUGCCGCGUGAGUGAUGAAGGCCCUAGGGUUGUAAAGCUCUUUUGUGCGGGAAGAUAAUGACGGUACCGCAAGAAUAAGCCCCGGCUAACUUCGUG
rnacentral:rRNA from 1 species